rnacentral:rRNA from 1 species
GACGAACGCUGGCGGCGUGCCUAAUACAUGCAAGUCGAACGAAGCCUUUUUAACUGGUGCUUGCACCGACUUAAACAACUGAGUGGCGAACGGGUGAGUAACACGUGGGUAACCUGCCCCAAAGCGGGGGAUAACAUUUGGAAACAGAUGCUAAUACCGCAUAACCACAGAAACCACAUGGUUUCUGUGUCAAAGAUGGUUUCGGCUAUCACUUUGGGAUGGACCCGCGGCGUAUUAGCUAGUUGGUAAGGUAAUGGCUUACCAAGGCAAUGAUACGUAGCCGAACUGAGAGGUUGAUCGGCCACAUUGGGACUGAGACACGGCCCAAACUCCUACGGGAGGCAGCAGUAGGGAAUCUUCCACAAUGGACGAAAGUCUGAUGGAGCAACGCCGCGUGAGUGAAGAAGGUUUUCGGAUCGUAAAACUCUGUUGUCAGAGAAGAACGUGUGCGAGAGUAACUGUUCGUGCAGUGACGGUAUCUGGCCAGAAAGCCACGGCUAACUACGUGCCAGCAGCCGCCGCGG